AACUUUGAACCAUUUUUAUGAAGCAAACAGUUAUAAUUGCUGCGCACAAAGAAAUCUAGUAAACUUGUAGUUUGAAAUUGAUCCAAAGAUACAAUUUGGAAAUUUCUAAACGCAUGACCUAUCAAGGCACAUAGCCAGUUCCAGUUUCUCUGCGUCAAAGCAAUUGUCAAAGCCGCCGUAAUCCAUGUCGAGAAUAGAUGAUUUAGCAAGACCAAAGACUUCGAAAGCCUCCUGGAUGACUAGUUAUUGGCCCGUGAACUGGUCCAAUCAGAGUCUUAUACGACCGUUGACAAAGGCUGCAGUUAAAGCCAAAUCCACGCCUCGUUUAGAAGAACUUGCCGCACCCAAAAAAAACUUUCAACUGGAACAUCCAGAACGAUGUGACAGGUAAAGUGUACCUCAGUAUGA